rnacentral:lncRNA from 1 species
GAGAACAACAGGUGAUUAAAAAAGAGUUCCUCAGAACACUGCCACAGGAUGAUCAAGGAGGAAGGAACUCAGAUAUAAUUAACCUUGCAAGAAUCCAGAGCCCAGAGCUUGGAAGCCCCAGAGUCAUAUGGCAAGAUUGAAACCAGCCAUCAGUGUGAGAGAAAAGUAAAAGCUGAAAUUAAGAUCAGAGAUGAGCAAACAGAACCCCAGAGAAUAGUUUCUAAUAAAGCCGGGAGAGUCGCCAGACACAGAUGUAUCACUCUGUGAAUCAGACACGUCUCAGAGACAAAGCCUUUGGAUGAAUCCACAGUCC